UAACACAUGCAAGUCGAGCGAGACCUUCGGGUCUAGCGGCGGACGGGUGAGUAACGCGUGGGAAUGUGCCCUUCUCUACGGAAUAGUCCCGGGAAACUGGGUUUAAUACCGUAUACGCCCUUCGGGGGAAAGAUUUAUCGGAGAAGGAUCAGCCCGCGUCUGAUUAGGUAGUUGGUGGGGUAAUGGCCUACCAAGCCUACGAUCAGUAGCUGGUUUUAGAGGAUGAUCAGCCACACUGGGACUGAGACACGGCCCAGACUCCUACGGGAGGCAGCAGUGGGGAAUCUUAGACAAUGGGCGCAAGCCUGAUCUAGCCAUGCCGCGUGAGUGAUGAAGGCCUUAGGGUCGUAAAACUCUUUCGCCAGGGAUGAUAAUGACAGUACCUGGUAAAGAAGCCCCGGCUAACUCCGUGCCAGCAGCCGCGGUAAUACGGAGGGGGCUAGCGUUGUUCGGAAUUACUGGGCGUAAAGCGCGCGUAGGCGGACUAUUAAGUCAGGGGUGAAAUCCCGGGGCUCAACCCCGGAACUGCCCUUGAUACUGGUAGUCUUGAGUUCGAGAGAGGUGAGUGGAAUUCCGAGUGUAGAGGUGAAAUUCGUAGAUAUUCGGAGGAACACCAGUGGCGAAGGCGGCUCACUGGCUCGAUACUGACGCUGAGGUGCGAAAGUGUGGGGAGCAAACAGGAUUAGAUACCCUGGUAGUCCACACCGUAAACGAUGAAUGCCAGUCGUCGGCAAGCAUGCUUGUCGGUGACACACCUAACGGAU
rnacentral:rRNA from 1 species